rnacentral:rRNA from 1 species
CAGUCGCCACGGUAAUACGUAGGGUGCGAGCGUUAAUCGGAAUUACUGGGCGUAAAGCGUGCGCAGGCGGUUUUGUAAGACAGGCGUGAAAUCCCCGGGCUCAACCUGGGAAUGGCGCUUGUGACUGCAAAGCUAGAGUGCGGCAGAGGGGGAUGGAAUUCCGCGUGUAGCAGUGAAAUGCGUAGAUAUGCGGAGGAACACCGAUGGCGAAGGCAAUCCCCUGGGCCUGCACUGACGCUCAUGCACGAGAGCGUGGGGAGCAAACAGGAUUAGAUACCCCUGUAGUCCCUGUCUCUUAUAC